rnacentral:rRNA from 1 species
CCUACGGGAGGCAGCAGUGAGGAAUAUUGGUCAAUGGGCGCGAGCCUGAACCAGCCAAGUCGCGUGAGGGAAGACGGCCCUACGGGUUGUAAACCUCUUUUGCCGGGGAGCAACGGGCGCCACGUGUGGCGCCACUGAGAGUACCCGGAGAAAAAGCAUCGGCUAACUCCGUGCCAGCAGCCGCGGUAAUCCGGAGGUUGCGAGCGUUAUCCGGUUUUAUGGGGUUUAAGGGGUGCGUAGGCGGAGCGUUAAGUCAGUGGUCAAAUUUGGGGGUCCAACCCGUGAGCGCCAUGGAAACUGGCGAUCUUGAGUGGGAGAGAAGUAGGCGGAAUGCGUGGUGUAGCAGUGAAAUGCAUAGAUAUCACGCAGAACCCCGAUUGCGAAGGCAGCCUGCCG